GAUGAAGAACGUAGCGAAAUGCGAUAAGUAAUGUGAAUUGCAGAAUUCAGUGAAUCAUCGAAUCUUUGAACGCACAUUGCGCCCGCGAGUAUUCUCGCGGGCAUGCCUGUCCGAGCGUCAUUUCAACCCUCAGGGCCCGCCUGCUUGCAGGCGCGGCGCUGGUGUUGGGGAUCGGCUACCCUGCCGUCCCCAAAUACAGUGGCGGUCUCGCUGCAGCCUCCCCUGCGUAGUAGCAACACUCGCAUGCGGAGCGCGGCGCGGCCACGCCGUAAAACCCCCGACUUUCUGAACGUUGACCUCGGAUCAGGUAGGAAUACCCGCUGAACUUAAGCAUAUCAAUAAGCGGAGGA
rnacentral:misc_RNA from 1 species